GGCGGGAGCUGUGUGGAUACUUGGAACUAUUCUUUGUGUUAUUUUUAAGUCCAAAUACUAAAACGUGUGUGUAUUAUUUUGCUUACAAAAUUAUUUCGGUGGAGCAACAACAAUAACAACAACAACACUUCGCGCUAUUAAUUUCCUGAUUGGUGUGGUGAAACAUUAUAAAAUCAUGCGGAAAUUAAGUGUGGCGGAAGAAAUCUGACAAUGAGCCAAGCGGUGCAUCGCGACCAUAAAAUGCUUCGCCGCGCCGCCGCCUGUCAGAAACCCUUAGACGUUCACCUUGCAGCAGCUCAGCACCGCAGCCAGGUAGCAAGGAAAAGCAAACAAUGGAGAAGCGUGGAGCAGAUAGGAUCCUGGUGGCGGCGCUGCUGGCGACCCUCGCCGUAGCAGCUCUGGCGAUGCCCAAGUCUACCAUCCGGCCUUUCGUUCUCAAAGAGGAACAUUUGAAUGGCGAGCGCAAACUUUCCGUCAACGCAACGGAACUUCCCGCAAACGAAACUUUAUCUUACAACAUCACAAUGGCACCACUCAGGAAGGAAACAACUAGCUUCCUUAAUACCUAUCCUUUUGAGACCUCGCCUCUUGUAUCCACUCGUAAUGACACCUUUCGUUCCGCUGCGAAUAUCAGUGACCAUCAAGACUGCAGCACACCGUAGGACUGACCACGCAGCAAGAUCUUACAGAGUCAAGGAACAUGCGUUCACUGCAUUGUGUUGUUGACGCCAAAGUCUGAAUGUGCAUUGCCUCACAAUGCAAUGAAGCAAUAAAUUUUACUUGAAUAUGUUACCAAUUCAACUACUUUUUUUCAUAUGGGUUAUUUUUUUCGUAAUGUCGUAAAUUUUCUUGCUUAUGUAUCACAUGUAGAAUUAUUUAGAGUUGUUUAAAUUCAUAUGACGCUGUGUUUAUGAAUUAUUUAGCCAGACAAUAAACUGAACAUGUCA